rnacentral:tRNA from 1 species
GAGGGUAUAGCUCAGUGAUAAAGCACAUGCUUAGCAUGCAUGAGGUCCUAGUUCCAAUCCCCAGUGCCUCCA